rnacentral:rRNA from 1 species
UACGUAGGGUGCGAGCGUUAAUCGGAAUUACUGGGCGUAAAGCGUGCGCAGGCGGUUUUGUAAGCCAGAUGUGAAAUCCCCGGGCUUAACCUGGGAAUGGCAUUUGGGACUGCAAGGCUUGAGUGCGGCAGAGGAGACUGGAAUUUCUGGUGUAGCAGUGAAAUGCGUAGAUAUCAGGAGGAACACCGAUGGCGAAGGCAGGUCUCUGGGCUGACACUGACGCUCAUGCACGAAAGCGUGGGGAGCAAACAGG